CGAAUUCGCCCUUCCUACGGGAGGCAGCAGUGGGGAAUCUUGCGCAAUGGGCGAAAGCCUGACGCAGCCAUGCCGCGUGGAUGAUGAAGGUCUUAGGAUUGUAAAAUCCUUUCACCGGGGACGAUAAUGACGGUACCCGGAGAAGAAGCCCCGGCUAACUUCGUGCCAGCAGCCGCGGUAAUACGAAGGGGGCUAGCGUUGCUCGGAAUUACUGGGCGUAAAGGGCGCGUAGGCGGACAGUUAAGUUGGGGGUGAAAGCCCGGGGCUCAACCUCGGAAUUGCCUUCAAUACUGGCUGUCUUGAGUACGGGAGAGGUGAGUGGAACUCCGAGUGUAGAGGUGAAAUUCGUAGAUACUCGGAAGAACACCAGUGGCGAAGGCGACUCACUGGCCCGUUACUGACGCUGAGGCGCGAAAGCGUGGGGAGCAAACAGGAUUAGAUACCCUGGUAGUCCACGCCGUAAACGAUGAGUGCUAGUUGUCGGCAUGCAUGCAUGUCGGUGACGCAGCUAACGCAUUAAGCACUCCGCCUGGGGAGUACGGUCGCAAGAUUAAAACUCAAAGGAAUUGACGG
rnacentral:rRNA from 1 species